AAAAUAUUUUUUUUGCUGGCUGCAUAAAAUCAAAACUUGAUGGAUAUCGAUUCUUGACUCCUCCACAUUUAUUAUUUAAAAUAACUUUAAUAAUACAUGGAAACAUAACUCGCAGAAGAAUAAAAAAGAAAUACAAAUGAUAACAACUUAGCUGUAAGGAGAGGAAAGUGGCAUGGGGAAGAUUUUUACAAAUGCGGAGAUUUCAGCGACGAUCAAAAGAAGUCUCGAGUCAAUUUUCUCCAAAAUUCGGAGCUUCGUGCAAGCUUUUACGAUGAAAGUAGAAGCAAACAAAUCUCCAAAUGUGUAGAGGAUGCUUUCCUUUCUCGGGAAACAAGCCCUUAGUCGUCACGCGUAGGCAAGGUAAACUCUAGCCACGUCCCAAGGCUACUCCCUUGCUGUCAACUCCAUGAUGCUUUGCGCGCAGACUCACAUUUUCCAAUAUGGCCGACGCUUCAUGCUGACUUCAAGUAGCCUGGCAGAUCCUUCACUAAUAUCUCCGUUUCUCCAAAAAUACUGUUUAUUUCACCAGCGAUCAAAUAAAAGUGUGCUUUGAAAAGUUUUCAGUAGUUUUUUUUAGUAGGUUUCGCUGCUUACAUCAGAAAAAUUCGAUUUGUCAGUUUUGGAGUAGAUGGAGAAUUCGGAAGCCUCUAAAAACUCUUCCCUGAAGCCCAAAAGCGUACCCGUUUGGCCGAGACGAGCUAGUAGAAAGAAUGCAGCUAGUUGGCAAGAGCUUGAUAACAUGAGUACGCUGAAAGGAGACGAUGAAUUUCCACGCUAACAACUUUAAGAAACAAAACUAAAGACCAUAAUGGCUAUAGGUUUUAAACUCCUACAGGACAGUUUUUAGAUCAACAACAGGACUGCUAUGCUAUUUGAUGAUAUUGCUCUGGUUCUUAGAAAUCAACUACAUGACAUUAAAGCGGCCUAUCCUUCUCUGAAAAAGAAACGUUCAGGGAAAGACCCAAUUUCAAGCUGCCAGUCAUAGGCAGUUUCAUCUGGAUUCCAUAUCUAGUCUUAGUAAAAAAAAACACACACAAAAGACAGGCAUCUGUCGCACAAUUUUUGCUAUCUUUAAUAAAAUCUUAAAAAAGACAUCUAAAGUUCAAUGCUUGAUAAACUAUAUGAAAAGAGAACUUAUCUUAUUGCAAAGGAUGCUGUUAGUUGACAAUGGAAAAGGUGUAACAAUAAAGUAAAAACAUAGAAUGGUGAAUUUUUUUCACAUACAGUUUUUUUCAUGAGGAAGCUUCAAAAUAACGAUCUACAAAUGAAGUCUGAUAUGUUAUUGACAAUAUUUGAAUAAAAAUAUUUUGGUAACU